rnacentral:misc_RNA from 1 species
GAUGAAGAACGUAGCGAAAUGCGAUAAGUAAUGUGAAUUGCAGAAUUCAGUGAAUCAUCGAAUCUUUGAACGCACAUUGCGCCCGGCAGUACUCUGCCGGGCAUGCCUGUUCGAGCGUCAUUUCAACCCUCAAGCCCUGCUUGGUGUUGGGGUCCACGGCCGCCGUGGGCCCUGAAAGGAAGUGGCGGGCUCGCUACAACUCCGAGCGUAGUAAUUCAUUAUCUCGCUUAGGGCGUUGGGCGGCGCUCCUGCCGUUAAAGAACCAUCUUUAACUCAAGGUUGACCUCGGAUCAGGUAGGAAUACCCGCUGAACUUAAGCAUAUCAAUAAGCGGAGGA